CUAACGGAGUAAAAUUUGGGAUCUAAUUGAAAGAAUUAUUAUUUGGGCUGAGUAACAAUACUUAUGAUAAUGCAUGCUCUAAUGUUUCGGUCUCCACUCACAAUAGGCUAGAAGCUUACCUCGAUAUCAUGGAAUACACUCUCUCGACAUUUCACAACUUCACCGCCACUAUGUUCUCUAACUUCGUUGUUUUCAUUGGUGAUAUAUCUCACUUUGCAGUGAACGUGUUUGUAUUGAUUUAUAAUUGCAGUGAUGGAUCUGAUCUGAAAGGCUCCUUUUAUAGGC